rnacentral:misc_RNA from 1 species
AAGUCGUAACAAGGUUUUCCGUAGACACAAGUCUCGGGAUCGUUCGAUCCUUCUGCAGUACACUUGCUGAAGCCUUGUAUAGCAGCCCGUAAGGGUGAUGUAGCGCGACUGUAAACAAUGUUACCCUGCUAGUCUACACCGUAGGCGACACUGUUAAAUUGCGGGGGACACCCUAAAGACCUCAGCACCAAGCACCCCUGGACGACGGGGGUGUGGCCUGGCUCGCAGCCAAGGGUAUGGUAAUAGUCUGGAGGUAUGCAACAAUGGGCGAUCCGCAGCCAAGUCCUCGACAGGACGCAGUUCACAGGCCAGAUGAUAGUGGGAUUGCACUGCGAAGUGCACUCUUAAGAUAUGGUCGGUCCCUUGGGGAAAUCCAAGGGUUAAGUACUUUGAAACCAAAAACGUUCCGUAGGUGAACCUGCGGAAGGAUCAUUAUCGAGAUAGGGGUCUUUUUAGGCCCGACCUCCAACCCUUUGUCUACAAAGCCUCUGUUGCCUCGGCGGGACGCCGGCGCCCUUACGGCUGCCGGCAGUCGGCCUCUGCGCUCUCGAGUGCCCGCCGCAGGACCUUUAACUCAAGUUUUUAAACGAGAAUUCUUAGUAGCAAUUAAUGCUUCAACAAA